CCUACGGGAGGCUGCAGUGGGGAAUAUUGGACAAUGGGCGAAAGCCUGAUCCAGCCAUGCCGCGUGUGUGAAGAAGGCCUUCGGGUUGUAAAGCACUUACAGUGGGGAAGAAAGCCUUGGGGCUAAUACCCUCGAGGAAGGACAUCACCCACAGAAGAAGCACCGGCUAACUCCGUGCCAGCAGCCGCGGUAAUACGGAGGGUGCGAGCGUUAAUCGGAAUUACUGGGCGUAAAGCGCGCGUAGGCGGUCUGAUAAGCCGGUUGUGAAAGCCCCGGGCUCAACCUGGGAACGGCAUCCGGAACUGUCAGGCUAGAGUGCAGGAGAGGAAGGUAGAAUUCCCGGUGUAGCGGUGAAAUGCGUAGAGAUCGGGAGGAAUACCAGUGGCGAAGGCGGCCUUCUGGACUGACACUGACGCUGAGGUGCGAAAGCGUGGGUAGCAAACAGGAUUAGAUACCCUAGUAGUC
rnacentral:rRNA from 1 species